GAUGAAGAACGCAGCAAAAUGCGAUAAGUAAUGUGAAUUGCAGAAUUCAGUUAAUCAUCGAAUCUUUGAACGCACAUUGCGCCCGCUGGUAUUCCGGCGGGCAUGCCUGUUCGAGCGUCAUUUCAACCCUCAAGCCCCCGGGUUUGGUGUUGGGGAUCGGCUCUGCCCUUCUGGGCGGUGCCGCCCCCGAAAUACAUUGGCGGUCUCGCUGCAGCCUCCAUUGCGUAGUAGCUAACACCUCGCAACUGGAACGCGGCGCGGCCAUGCCGUAAAACCCCAACUUCUGAAUGUUGACCUCGGAUCAGGUAGGAAUACCCGCUGAACUUAAGCAUAUCAAUAAGCGGAGGA
rnacentral:misc_RNA from 1 species